rnacentral:rRNA from 1 species
GUCCAGACUCCUACGGGAGGCAGCAGUGGGGAAUAUUGGGCAAUGGGCGCAAGCCUGACCCAGCAACGCCGCGUGAAGGAAGAAGGCUUUCGGGUUGUAAACUUCUUUUGACAGGGAAGAGCAGAAGACGGUACCUGUCGAAUAAGCCACGGCUAACUACGUGCCAGCAGCCGCGGUAAUACGUAGGGGGCGAGCGUUGUCCGGAAUUACUGGGCGUAAAGAGAGCGUAGGCGGCACUACAAGUCUCAUGUGAAAUACCCGGGCUUAACUUGGGGGUUGCAUGGGAAACUGUAGAGCUUGAGUACAGGAGAGGCAAGCGGAAUUCCUAGUGUAGCGGUGAAAUGCAUAGAUAUUAGGAGGAACACCAGUGGCGAAGGCGGCUUGCUGGACUGAAACUGACGCUGAGGCUCGAAAGCGUGGGGAGCAAACAGGAUUAGAUACCCCAGUA